rnacentral:tRNA from 1 species
UGUCAAGUGGCCGAGUGUUAAAGGCAUCGAGUUUGAAACUCGACGUGACAAAACACACAUAGGUUCGAAUCCUAUCUUGCUCU